rnacentral:rRNA from 1 species
UGGGGAAUCUUGGACAAUGGGCGCAAGCCUGAUCCAGCCAUGCCGCGUGGGUGAAGAAGGCCUUAGGGUUGUAAAGCCCUUUCAGUCGUGACGAUGAUGACGGUAGCGACAGAAGAAGCCCCGGCUAACUCCGUGCCAGCAGCCGCGGUAAUACGGAGGAUGCAAGCGUUAUCCGGAAUGAUUGGGCGUAAAGCGUCCGCAGGUGGUGAUGCAAGUCUGCUGUUAAAGAGUGUAGCUUAACUACAUAAAGGCGGUGGAAACUGCACCACUAGAGUACGUUCGGGGCAGAGGGAAUUCCUGGUGUAGCGGUGAAAUGCGUAGAUAUCAGGAAGAACACCGGUGGCGAAAGCGCUCUGCUAGGCCGUAACUGACACUGAGGGACGAAAGCGAGGGGAGCGAAUGGGAUUAGAUACCCCCGUAGUCC